UCUGCUUUGCUUGGCACCUAGUAAAAACUAGUAUCCCCACACAUUAAAGAUUGGAAAAACAAACUUAGGGCCCAACUAUAGAAACGUCUCUCUCUCUCUCUCUCGCAUCUCACUCCCCUCAUCUCUGGAGGAUUCACGAUUCUUUACUCUUAUGUUGUGUGUGAUAUAUAUCAAAACUUUGUAUACUACAUUACCAUAAUUAACUAAACUUAUAGCACGCUAGUCAACCAAAAUUAUAGAAAAGAGAUUAUCAUAAACCUAAAACAUAUAUAAUGGGGUAACACGUGGUGCAGGUAUGGCUGCUCGUGUAUAUU